rnacentral:rRNA from 1 species
AUGUAUUGCGGUAAAAGCCGUGAUGCUACCAUUGUGCUUGAGGCCGUAGCAUCUCAGGAAACAUGGAUUUGGCAUGCAUUCUUUGGGUUGCCGGGAACACUCAAUGAUAUCAAUAUCCUCAACAGAUCUCCUUUGUUCAAAAGAUUAAUUUCUGGGGAUGCUCCAGCUUGCAACUACAAAAUCAUGGACAAUGAGUACUCAAUGGGAUACUAUCUCACCGAUGGCAUCUAUCCUGAAUGGGAAACUCUUGUGAAGUCCAUCAAGGAGAAAAAUGGGGUGCCCUUAACAAGAAAAGAGGCUCAUUUCACCAAGGCACAAGAGGCAGCCCGCAAGGAUAUUGAGAGAGCUUUCGGUGUUUUGCAAGCAAGAUUUGCCAUAGUUCGUGGUCCAGCUCGAUUUUGGGACAAAAAAACCUUGAUGAACAUCAUGAAAUGUUGUGUGAUUCUACACAACAUGAUCCUAGAGGAUGAGAGAGGGUUAAACCUCCCUUGUUUCUAUGACAAUGUUGGUACCCGUGUGCAACCGAAAAGAAACCUUUCUCGCAUACACGCUUUUCUUCAAGCACAUUGUCAGAUUGAGGAUGCAACCACUCAUGAUCGGCUCCGGGAUGAUCUAGUAGAGCACCACUGGCAGUUGGAUGGGCGGCGCAUUGGCCCAUGA